UUGGGAAAAAUAUGGUUCACAAAUUUUAGCAUAACUCCGGUUAUACUUGGCCUAUUUACACAAUUUAAAAACUGGUGUGUAGUUUAUAAUGUGCACUUUAAGCUGAAGUUGAAAGUGAGACUGAGGGAGGCGGAGUCUUGCUGCUACGCCGUAACAAGCUAGACGUUAAAAAGAGCUAUAAGGCUGUGGACCCUUAUGGUUUAACGGAUCGAUACUCGCGGAUGAAAAAUCGAUACUUUCCGAGGGCGGAAAAUAUCGAUAUAUAUCGCCGAAUAGAUUUAUAUAUACAGCCCUAUAAAUGAACUUGAUUUACUUAUGAACCACAAGUCUAUGAAAGUGGUAGCUUUGGCCAUUUGCUCACCUGGAGCAUACAGGUGUAGGUUACACAAAGCCAAGAGGAAAACACAUCAGCCAUGACGUGAAAGAAUCAACUGUUGUUGGCAAUCAAUCAUUUAAGAGUUAUUAUGUCUUUUCCAAGCAAGCCAAGCAAGUGGUGGAAAAUUUGAGACAUUUUCCAGUCUUUUCAGAAAAGGAUGUUCCAUCAAUUUCAGACCACAAAGGGCUCAGACAAAUUGAAUCUCAAGCUUUUUUCAAGCAUGAGAAUGAUAAAUGUUACAGUUAAUAAAAGUAAAAUUAUAUAAAAAAAAAAGACUGAAUAAAUGUGGUUUGUUUGGAAAGGCUGCCAGGAGAAAGUUUUUUCUCUAAAAGAAAAUGGUUGCACCAUCAGCAUCGGUUGUGUUAAUACUUUGCUAAACAUAUAGAGCUGUCAUAAUAUGCACCAGGACAGAUAAUGACCCAAAAAAUAAAGAUGU